CUCUCGACUGGCUGCAGUCUGUUCCCCGUGCUGCCUUCGGAGAGAUCCUUGUAAAAUGCAAAUCAGGUCUGCAGUCCCCCAUUUAAAACCCUCCGGUGGUUCUCCACGGCCCUGAGGCUGAGUCCACACUCCUUCCUAGGACUUCAAAUGCCCUUCAUUAUCUGGUGUCUGUCGCAUUCUCCCAUCUUCUGCUGGACGCUCCAGCCGUCUCGAGCUGUCUGCUCUGUUUUCCUCCCUCCUGAGCCUGUGCAGAAGGGACCGCUGCCCGGCGCCUCCUCCUUCCUGGCCUUCCUUUCCCUUCCUCCAGCCAACUCCCAAGCGAACUCCUACUCACCUGGUUCUGCCCAAGCAUCCGUGGCUCUGGCAUCCUCCCCUGACCACCCCCUCCCCAGACUGAGCUAAGGGCGUCACCAGUGUGUUCCCAUGGCAACCUGGCUGGACAUACCCGGAGGUAAUGCUGAAAUUACUCGCUUGCAUCGCUGUCUUCCCGCGGGCAUCUCGAGAGCAGGGAAUGUGUUUCGUUCACCUUCACUUCAUCGGCGCCCAACACAGGGAUGCUGGCCAAGUAAAUACUCAGGAAGAACUGCUGAACAAGCGCAAGAACAAGCAAACUGUUGGUGGAGAGGUGAACUGGUACAACCACCUCGGAAAACGGAAUGGAGGUUCUUCAAAACAUUCAAAACAGAAUUAUCUAUGACCCCGCCUCUGGCUAUACACAUGAAGGUGAUGAAAUCACUAUCUCACAAAUACCAAAAAGGAAGGAACAAGCAAAUGAAACUUCAAGGACUACGCAGAAGACUAACGGGCAGGUGGCCGCACAGUAGGAACCUUUUACUCGCUUACUGCGUGGAACGUGGGGGACUCUGCUGUCGGCUUUUCCUGUCGGACCCAAGCCUUCCUACCUACCCUCUGCUCUUACCUGAGCAAAGUCUCACCAGCCUCCUCCCACAGGAGGCCUUCCGGGGUCCUUACCGACGUACCUGCGAGGAUGCCCACGUACACCCGGGCUGUCUCGGGGGGACGCUGUGUAAUUCUUUCCCCUGCAAAGGCUAAAUCAAUCACGUGCACCUCAUACACACGACGCCCAUCAGCCUGAGUGUGGGUCUGUCUCCUUCCUUCCUUCUGGCCCCAGUGCCUUUACCUUCGGUUCUUUGGGGAACACGCCUAACCCUUUGUACCCAACCCUGAGGCUCUGUCCCUCCUCCCUCACGCUUAGCAAGGCCUCGUAAAACCCCCCGCUUCAAUCCCUUCUCACUCCCCCUCACUCUCCCGCCCUGUUAUUUCCAAAGUUUUGCCCGCCUCGGCGGAUUUCAACCUUUCGAGUCUUCCUCUGAUUCUCGUGUGUAGAUGAGAUGGCCCCCUUUCUCCUGUCGUGAGCUCAGCCAGGACGUAGGACAGGGGGUCAGGGUGCCAGAGGAGGGAGAGAAGCUGCUGCACGUGGCAUCUAGAACAACCAGCUGCUCCGUGUUUGUGUCGGUAGGAGUCUUUCCCUCCACUGCCAUUCAUGAGUGCAUCCGUGCUGUGCACGUGCACACACACACACACACACACACACACACGCACACACACACGCACACGCAGCCUUGACCUAGGGAGGCAGCUGAAGGAGAGUCCAUGAGGAAACCCCCUUAUCAGUGAGCCUGGUGGUGGGAACCACGGUGAAUCACUGAGGCAGCAGAACAGGUCAUUGCAGCGUAUCUCCUGCAUUGUGCCCCAGUCGCUCUCUGUCUUGGGUCUUCUCCUUUAGAAGGAGGCUAACCAUAGUGCCUGCCUCCUGGGUUACGUGAAGGGGUGUCUGCCGAGUGCUGAGAACAGGCUGGACACUCAGUGAGGGCUGAAAGUGACAGCGGGCAGCUAAAGCCAACACGGAAGUCCAGAGCCCAGGACCCAGGGCAUCCUGUGUGUAUUUUUCCAGAAGCUCCAUGCUUAGCUGUUGUUUGUAAAAUGCCCCUCCCCCUAGAGGAGCCCUGAGUUCAGGGUUCUUUUGAGAACAGCUGGGGUGGUGCUGGAUCCCUGUCACCACCUGCUCCACGCGGGGUGGCUUUUAGAAACCUCACAGGGGUGCUGACACUGAAGCAGGUAAUGAUCGUGUCAUCAGGGUAGCACCCCUCCAUCCGGAAGGUGGGCUGAGGCUUGAAUGAGUCCAGCCUAUGAAAGUGUAAAGACUCCAGCUUUCUUCCUGAAGAAGCCAAUGGACCGAGUAUGUUGCAAACAAUUUUUGACAGUGACCUACAGAAAGAGAAACAUCUUCUGCUGUGACCCAGUAGACAGGCACGUAGAUUUAUGGCUGGAAAAUAAAAAGCAGCCUAAAACAAUAUCUUUGCUAUAUACAACACACUGGGAAAUUUUUUCUUUUCUUCUUCUUUUUAAUAAAUACCAUUUAUGACCACUGAAUUGAUCUCGCCACCCACCAAUGGGUCAUGAUCAGCCGCUUGACAAACACCAAGUCAGAUCAAAAGUCUUCAGGAAUUCUUUAGGAAUGGGCUAAUGAUCAGAAAUAGAAUCCUAUAAAAGACUCUAAAAAUUCUUUAAUGGAAGAAAGAUGACUAUUGAUUUGGGUCUGUGUACCCAUGUUUUUUGUUCUCCUUGAGAAUUUAAAUUGCAAAGAGAAAUUCUCAAGUUCAGGUGUGUUUUACAAAAAUGCCUUUGCCUGAUAAAAUAGAAGUAAUGGCACACCAGGAGGCAUUGUGGGACACACGGAUGUCUCUAGGACAAGUAAUUGUCCUGAGUAUUAUCCAGCUGAACUCUGACUAGACAGAACCAUAAAAUGCAGUGCUGUAAAAACAGCUCUUUCUCUUUGGCCCUGUUCCCAAUCUGCAAAAGUAUCUGAAAUACACCAACACCUUAAAAUCCGUGAGCCCUUUUGACAACUGAUAUCAAAAUAAUUUGAGGUCUUCUUCCCACUGGACAAGUUGCCACGACCCUGUAGUCUCCUGUGUAACAAACACCCCAAAGGCUUGCUUGUGCACAGGACUUGGCAAGUUACAAAGAGUUUUAGGGCAUGUCAGCUGGACCUCCUCACAAUCCCGUGUGGUGUAUUGCGCAGGUAUUUUCAUACAUUGCGGUGAUGACUGUACCGCCAUGUAAGACUUAAUGGUUUCCAUUUUCAUCAUAAAGAUGGGACAGCCUCCCUGAACUUUGGUUUCUUCAUCUGUGAAACAGGCAUUACUGUGAGAUAUCACUGGCCAAUUAAAAUGCUCCAACUGAAAGACCAUACCUGCAUCCAGCUGACCCUGAUUUAUUCUAUUUAAAUGCCACUUUUAAAAAUAUGGUCUGCCCUCUAUACCCAUGGGUUCCAUCUCGGGAAACUGGGAAGCAGGAAGAAGGAAGAGAACAAAUGAAUUCCUAUGGACCCUUGAGGAACAAAAAAAUAGAGAUGGUGGAACAUCUCAACCUCUAGCAGGACCCAGAGAAUAGAAAAAACUUCUUGUGACAAAAAAACACAGAAUGGAGGAUGAAUCCCGUUCCACCUGGGCUGCUGGAGGCAUCCCUUUGUAAAAUGAACUAGCAGCCAGUGUGUGCAGAAAUUAAAAGAAAAUUGGAUGACUUUCACAGGUGUAAAGAUACACUGAGCUUGCCUGGUGUGCUGACGUGGAUAGGGUUUGACAGCAGGACUCGCUGGGGAUUUGAGCUGAAGAUCAUGAAAGAUCAUAGCUCAUCAAGGCAAGAUGAAGAAGUGAAGGUGAAGCCGAAGAAGGGCCAGGAGGGACUGACUGUGGAUAACAGCUUUCAGGGGGAAGUUGAUGCUUAAAUUAACAACUAAGUAAUAUCUUAAAGUCUGAGAAUACAUAAGACACCAAGAAAAGAGAGCUUUGCUGUUGUCCAAGAUUCAAGAUAAAAGUUCAUUUAUUCACUGCAACCCAAGAGAUGGGACCAGAGGCAGAUACUGUUCAUAUAUGCUUUGACUCUGGUAAGAUUCUUGUGUGCUCUCUCCAGUUAAAUCUUCCUACCUGGCAAUUAGUUCCUCAUCGCCCUGAAAAGCCCACACUGGGAACUUGACUCCUCAAGCAUAGAAUACCAUUUGGCAGCCAGGAAGGAAGGAGUUAAAGAAGCAUGGUUGUGGCACAGCUGGGAGCCAUUAACAAUUAAGUUCUUGGACAGAAACCCAGCAGGAAGCUGACAAGGGGCUGCAGAGACACAAUGGCCUCUCCAAAGUAAAAACUUGAUUUAGAAAUGAAUGAGCUGCCUUUACUGGUGAAACUUCCGCAACACCUAAAUCCCCUAAUUAAGAAUGAAGAGCAGAUACUGGUUAAGAGUUUAUAUUAUGCUUUGCCAUGAGCCAGCGUUUUUAAUAAGAAAGAUAAUAAGUUAAUAAUUUCUGAAAAUAUAUUUCGAAAAACUACAGAAGAUAAGGGCGUGGUCCUGACCUGACUUAAAAAUCCUAACAGGUGAACCAACGUGAGGUGCUUGGUGCCUCAGCCAUUUGCCUCUCGAUUCUGUUUCCAUUUUUGAUGGCAAGAGGCUGGGUUUCGGAGAUACACUAAGAAAUCUCGUACUUUUGUGUGCGAGGAUUAGUAUUAUCUUAAGUGCAGUACUAGUACUGGUACUGGUAUUAUCUUCAAUGCAGUUCCCAGGUCUCAUGCUUUUCGGCUUACUUUUUCCCUGACCCCCUUGCAUUAAAGACCCCGUCUUCCUCGGAUUUCUCGUUCCUCCUCACCCCAGCAGGACCCAGGCCGGACCGCCAGGCUUCCCGACCGUCGUCUGGCAAAGCUUCAAUUCGUGACAAAUUUGCAGAAACCCGUGGGUUACUGUAAGGAGUGAGAAGCUUCUGAAAAACGCCAGCCAGUCUUCAUUUCUCCCUCCUGGUACCCUCGACAGUCUCUACAUGUUUGUUUCGUCACUGUCAUCCAACCUGAUCGCGCUGCGUUUGGUACUUUAUCUCAUGGUGUCCUUGAGCCAUUCCGUUGUCUAGGGUGUAAACCAUCACCUUCUACUUAACACUGCAAACCCCUGACAGCAAGGAAACGCCUCGUGAUUCCUGUUUGUCCUCUCUCCUGCCUUGCACGACAAAACUUACAGGGUAAAAGGUCCUGUCAGGACUGAGGGGGCCCCUCCACGGAACCGAAAGCCACCCAGGCUGUUUCGGAAGGUAAGAAGCUGACAAGGAGCAAAAGAGGACACUGAGGUGGAAGGUAGGAGACAGGGCCAAAAAGCCUCCUCUGCGUCAGACCCUUGAGGAGAAUAUGAUACUAAAAGGCAAAGGGAAGAGCAUUCAGCUGACAGACUUUGUGCUUACUGGUGUCAGACUUGAGCCGAGGAGGAAAGUGAGAACCACCGUCUUACCUGGUCACCGUUACUGCUGGCUGGCAUAGCAUCAGACACGCAGAGGAACCCAACUGCAGGUGCUGAAUGGAGGGAGAGAUGGAGAUAGUCAGUCAGCAAUCAGUGAUACUAUCAGUAAUUGGCUGGAUUAGCCAGGGAAUAUUUCCCAGACAUGUCGGGGCAGAUGGUAAUUUCAUGAUGAGAAGGGGACAUAUUGCGAGGCUUCCCAAGGAAUGAGAAUGCUGAGGCAAAGGUUCCUGCCUAAGGAAUCCCAGGGAAGGGACGAUAAUAGAACGCCUUUUCUUUCUAAGAGUGUUCGGGGUGCUGUGUGGACGGUGGUUAGGAGCCCUUGAAAGUUAUGAGCGUUGGAGAGGUGCGUCUUAAAGGAGCUUGGGGUGGAGAAUAAUUUAAGUUGAUGGAGGCAGAACCUUGAGAGGCCAUCAGGGAGUCAGGGCCGUUAGGGGAUUAACUCAAACAGAUGAUUGGGAUAGUCUACCAGGAACAGGAAGAUGCAGGGGGAAAGGGCCUGCUUUGGCUUAAUGUUCUUGGGGAGUGUCGCUUUCUGGAACCUGGCCCUACAGAGGUCUGUGAUGUUGAGCACAAGCUGGCAAGUCCCUGGAGCACUUAGAAGGCAGUUUCCUGCCCUCAUGUGGAAGGUGAAGCCCCUGACCUCAAAUCUGAGGAAUGUGGUACUUUGGUCUCUUCAUCAUAAAGAAUUUUCCCAGAGCCAGCGACAUACAAACGCAGGAUGCCUGGACUGAGUGGAAAGUGCUCUGCAGAACGGAAGCUCCAAAGGACGACUGGCCUUGAAAGACGAGGCCAGUGGCACCGGCUUGCGACCAGCCCAAAGAGGUCGACUGACCGGCUUUCACAGCCGGACAAGAACGGAAAUCUUCAAAGGGUCCCCGAUGAUUAGCUUGUGUCAGGAGCAAAAAACUAGAUAAGGAGCCCCCUUUCACCGGCACCCCGAGCCACACUCAUUCUUCGACUCUUUGAAAUGUCAGCUGGGAUUCUGUCUGUGGACACAAAGGAGGACGCCGCCAGGCUGGGCGACCACUGACCUAUCAGUGGUCGAGAGAGUCUGGAAGCAGUGUAAGUAGCACAGACAGCUCUUGUGUGAUAAGGUUUUUUAUCUUCUUGUGAGACGUAGUCCCAAAUUUCAGCAGACUCCUUGGCUGGAAGGAAAGUACGACCUCACGUCUCGAUCAAUUUUGAUUUAUAUUCAUUUUUUUCCUGUAUGAGUUUGACACACAUUUGUCAAGGAAAAACUAUUUUAUAAAAGCAUUUUUUUUCAUGCUGUAGGUAGGAAUUUUCUGUGCUUUCUAAUUAGACCCUAUAAAAAGCCGGCUCCCCCAUGAGCGAAAGUUCCCUUGGGUUACCAAUAGCGGGCCUCGUUGGAAUGUCGGGAAAUUCAGGCAGAAUCGUUGGGGCCAAUCUCAUACCAUCUGCUCAGCAUCCUCAAAAAAUGCUGUUCCAGAAGGCAGUUCUUCGAGUUUUUAGGCGUGUUUUUGACUUGACUCAGUGCGGCUGAUAAAAAUAACCUUCAUAUUUUGAAUCGCAAUUCCAUGCACACUUUCCUAAAAAAAUUGGGCAAAAAUUUGUCAGUCUCUCUAGUCUCCCUCAUUGUCUGUCUCGCAAACUGUACUUAGCGGUACCAAGCAGCCUCCUUCCUUAAUGACUCUAUAUUGAGAGACGGCGUCCUCUUGUUAGAGCAGGUGCUGGGUGGAUGUCUUCCUCUGGUCACUUGUCCUCUGCCUCGUGGACUCAGAGUGGCCGCAGCCUCUCUCGUUUGAGUGAUGAGACCAUAUCGGCUGAACAGGGAGUUCUUGCCAUCAGGGUGAACGGAAUGUCUUUAAUUUUUAUUAUGCAUCUGCUGUAAACUCAACUCAAAUAGAGAAGGAGGCGAGCAGAAACCAAAAUGACGUCUUGUGCAGACGCAUAGGGUUUUCUCCGAAAAGAACUUAUUCUUUAUCAAGGACUGAGAAAGUGUCCUUUUCCCUUUUCCUUCAGCGUAUGAAAUAUUUACUUGUUAGCCCGCCUCUGAAAUAACCGUUUUCCAUAGAGCUGCAGCCGCCCAGCCCAUCAGUGUGCUGGUUAAUUAAGUGUGACCUAAACCAACUUGACUUGAGCUCUGCAUUAAAUGCACAAAACCCAUUUGAGCUGACCAGCAGCAGAAGUGGUACUCAGAGAAAUUGGAAAGGAUUUCUCCCAAAUGCGUUCUCCUUACUUACAGCACUCAAGUAAUGGUUGAAGAUUAGCAUAUGACAUGACAGAUCACAUUAAGUCAUGUCUCUGCAGUGCUUUAUGACAGCACUAUCACAUUAGCUUCUUAGCACUGGCACAUCGAGGCAUGCAAAUGUUUUCAGACCCUCUUAUUCAAAUCUACAAGCUGACAUGGCAGCUCUGAUAUGAUUAUUAGUCAUUUGAGAGACUUUAAUUCACGUCAUCAGAUAACAGGUUCUGCUAAAAGGUUACAGAAACUGUCUGCUUUUAAUGAAGCUCUCAAAAAAGACCCUCAGAAACCCCGUUACACACCAAGAGCCUGGGUUGACUUUAUUGACAAGACCCUGCUAAGAAUGAACUUGAGUGGAGUAGCUGAAGAGGCCUCCAGACAUUGCCCGUGUUGUCGGUUUUUUGGAGAAUACCGUGAGGGGUGGUGGCGGGGCUCUCCCUUUCCCCGGUACUCCCUCCAGCCUGUUCUCACUUGACUCUAGCCUCCCGUACACGGCAGGGGGGGAGCCGUGGACAUUUUUAGAAUGUGACCUCCAGUAGGAGUCUCCCCAGCGUAAAGAUAAUCAUUCCUGGAACUUUCAUUACAGUUUGGGCAUCGGCACUGCCACAGGGCACAGUAGUGGGCUCAUGGUGUCUGGCCACGCAUGGCACUGAGUGGCGACGUGAUCCAAGACCACUGGUUUGUCAUCCAGAGUGUGCUGUGCGUCGGUUCUGCAGCCAAAUGCUUUGUUCUAAAGGGCGGUGGUCUGCACUUAGGCGUCGUAGGAACCCCCUUUUCAAAAUGCUUCCGUGUGGAUCAGUGGAGUUUGGCCAGCGAUGAUCUUGUUGGAAUGAGGGGAGGUGGCCGAUGAUCUUGUUGGAAUGAGGGAAGGUGGGGUCAGGAAGAUGCAAGGGGCAGAGCACCAGAGAGAGGCUUCUGCAGGCGCCCACGUCUUUCGCGAAGGAUCCAUGAGAAAACCCAUGUCCUCAAACUUGGAGAAAGGAAUGCAAAUGCACUUUUUCAUCUCUUACUUUUUUCUUAUGGUCCAAAAGAGUGAAUAC
rnacentral:lncRNA from 1 species